GACGAACGCUGGCGGCGUGCUUAACACAUGCAAGUCGAACGGAAAGGCCCUGCUUUUGUGGGGUGCUCGAGUGGCGAACGAGUGAGUAACACGUGAGUAACCUGCCCUUGACUUUGGGAUAACUUCAGGAAACUUGGGCUAAUACCGGAUAGGAGCUCCUGCUGCAUGGUGGGGGUUGGAAAGUUUCGGCGGUUGGGGAUGGACUCGCGGCUUAUCAGCUUGUUGGUGGGGUAGUGGAUUACCAAGGCUUUGACGGGUAGCCGGCCUGAGAGGGUGACCGGCCACAUGGGGACUGAGAUACGGCACGGAGUCCUACGGGAGGCAGCAGUGUGGAAUAUUGCACGAUGGGCGGAAGCCUGAUGCAGCAAGGACGCGUGCGGGAUGACGGCCUUCGGGUUGUAAACCGCUUUCGCCUGUGACGGAGCGUGAGUGACGGUAAUGGGUAAAGAAGCACCGGCUAACUACGUG
rnacentral:rRNA from 1 species